rnacentral:rRNA from 1 species
UAGGGGGCAAGCGUUAUCCGGAUUUACUGGGUGUAAAGGGAGCGUAGACGGCAGCGCAAGUCUGGAGUGAAAUCUCGGGGCUCAACCCCGGAACUGCUUUGGAAACUGUGCAGCUGGAGUGCAGGAGAGGUAAGCGGAAUUCCUAGUGUAGCGGUGAAAUGCGUAGAUAUUAGGAGGAACACCGGUGGCGAAGGCGGCUUACUGGACUGUAACUGACGUUGAGGCUCGAAAGCGUGGGGAGCAAA